GACCAGACCAGCUCCAUGUCACACUGCCUAUCCACCCCAGAGGCUCUGCUGGUGGCCCCCUCUGGACAAUACCGAGCUGAAGGAGACCCCGACUGGCCAUCGAGGACCCACUUUCAGCCUGGGAUAGAAAAGAAACUGAAGUACAUUGACACAAUCUUUGCUACAGCCCACAAGAGAAACAAAAAGUAAAACCUAGUCCCAUAGAAGUCAAUGGUGACGUUACCAAUGGGAACAAUCUUCUUCAUUCCUCAGAAUUCAUGUGUUUUUGCUCAAGAAGAUUAUGUCACCUAGAGAACUCUCCAUCUUGGAUAGCAGAAGAAAGAAGAUUUCUGAAUGACUGACAAAGUUUGCAAAGAAGACGGUACAAGAAGCUAUACAGAACCAAAGAAUGGCAGAAGCAUAUUCAAAUAGAUUCUUUAGGUCACUUUUAGUGUGGCAGACACACAAAGGAUACAAGACAUACAAAGAAUGCGUACAAUAUGUACAAGAUUAAUUGUGUCAUAUGUUUGUGCCUACACCAAUCUUUCUUAUGUUGCACUUGUACCCAGUUGCUUGUACUAUCUCAAUUCUCAAAAGGAAGACCUUACUAAAUAAAGGUAUUAAGGCCAGCAUGCUAAGCAGGGUGCAGAAACCAAUCAAUAGGAAGUGUGGAAAGAUGAGAGAGGAGUUUGGAACCCUUCCCUCCGCUGGAGCUUAGUAGUAGUCUGGAACCUCGACUCUUGCAUUCAGUGGUAUAAAUCCCUAUAUAAGCAUGGGUGCAUAAAUUAUCUCCUAGAGGAGCAGGACAUAGGUUUAUGCACCCAAGUGAACACUGUGGGGGUUUAAAUGCUUCUGUCAGUGACAGUAAAGAAGAAUCACAGCCCUGAGCUCUUUCUGGGGAAGGUUAAAACAAUUAUUUUUGUCAUGUUAGUGCUUGCUAUUAUUUUUCCUACAAAAUGUUCCCAUCUUUUCCUAUAUGUUCCUAUAUUUUAUUUGUUAACACUUUUUAAUGGAUUGUUUUAGUCUUUUGGAAAAAAAAGUGGCCAUGUAUACAUAUAAUGAAUCAAUAUUGCUCUGAGGCUAUAAAACACAGCUGGUUGUGAGAUAUACCUAUUUCAUUAGUCAUGAUGACUGCUGUGCUUGUUUGCCUUUCUUAAUU